CUGAGCGUGCUGUCCGUUUUAUGUUGGUACCUUGACUGAGAAGCCCAUUUUUUAUACAGUGGAAGAAGGAGUGUGAAGGAGGAAAUGCCAAACAGGACACAUGUCAGAGGAGGGUCUGGAAAUGGAUGCUCUUAUCGUGUCCCUGCUUAUGAAACCUUAGAAAAUCUUCACGUCCCCCAGGGGUCUGGGUACCCCAAUGGGAUGUAGGCCCAUCUAGCACCUGGCUGUCGAUCUCUGUCCUCUCCACUCUAGAAAGAAGCCUUGCAUCUGAGAACAGAUGAAAUAUGCCGCAGCCACAAGGGGAAAUUGAUCUGAGAGCAGAGCUACGAGAUAGAAACACCAGGUCCCGACCGCAUCCUUUGAACGCCAUAGUCAAGCUGUUCCUGAAACUGGCUUCCCCACUGCCAGGCUCGGUUACAAAAGCCAGUGUGCCGCCUUCCCGCAUCAGCCACUUUGCAUUGGAGGUUUUGUGGCUUGAAUAAAGGAGAUUUUAGAGUAUCAUUUGGACGGUCAGAGAAGAGAGGACAGAGAGCAAAGGAGAGGAGAAGGGAGGGCAUGCCAGGCCGCGAAGUGAGAGGCGGAGACACCACAAUUCCAGCCUCUGCAAACAGUCAAGUUCUCUGUGUCAGAGAAAAGCCCUUUACAAAGACAGCAAAGCAGGAGUCAAAAGAACCUAAAGGGAAGGGUUGUAAACUUAAGAUAAUCAAUCUGGGCCUCCUGGGGCCUAUAUUCUUGCUACAAAGCAGGAGGAGCAAGGGUCACAGAGAGAAUGCCGAUGCGGGGGUCAAGGGCGCUGUGAGGCGGUCCUGCCUGCGUGGGCCUCUUCCCACUGUGCAGGCUCAGGUCAGCACCCGAGCCCCCAAGUUUCCUGCCUGAUAAAGGACAAAUACCAAUGUCAACCAUCUGUAAAGAGGAUGAAAUCAGGACAUACACGUUAAAGCGCCCAGCACAGAGGGUGACCCACGGCUGGUGUUCAGUGAAUGGUAGAGAUGGUUAUCACGAUGGGUGUGGAUGGCCCUGCUUCAAACGGGCACUUGAGUUUGCAGAGUGGCUAAAAGUGCUCCCGUGGGAAUCGAGGGUCAGAAACACACCUGCUUUGCAGGGAAAACAGAGGAUGUGUUCAGCCAGAGUCCGUGCCCCUGUCAGUAAUCCACAGCAGCAGCAGCCGCGAUGAUGAACGCUGUGAUUGUGAUGCUGUACUACAUACAGCUUUGUGUGGACGCCUCGUGCCCAGCGUCCCAUCCAGGGCCAUCCCCCUGCCCCGGCAGGUCACAGAAUGCUCUUUCAUCCACUGUUGCAGAGCACAGGGACAGAGUCGGAACCAUGGUGGAUCCCACGGUGGGGAGCAGCGGUCUUUCCUCUCUCUUCCCCGCCCUCUGCAUGAGCCAAGGAGAGAGUUUGGUUGGGUGCUGAGCACGCCUUACCGUCUCUCCAGGGCUUUCUAAUCUCCCCAAGCUAAUUAGGGGUGAUGCUGGGACAGGAAUCCGAGUCACUGAUGACACAGCCAAUGCAGCUUUUAACACUUCCGUGCACAUCCUCUUAUCAGAUUAGCUAAGUUCUAAGAACAGUGUCGUCAGAGAUGAGAUAAAAUAGAACGCAGAAGAUUUUAGGGGAGGGACACAGGACACUUCCCUGCUGGGGUGAGGAGCCUAGAUGAAGAGGGAAAGCCUGGCCCCCCAGGAAAGUGGGGGACGGGGGCGUGGGCUGCUAGACUAUAGGAAUCCUGGCAGGUGGACACCCAGAGAAGAGUGUUAGGGGUAUCUGAAGCCAAGGUCAGCCCCCUGCCCAAUUCUUGUAGAGAAAUGUCCAGACCCUUCUAGAUGUUUCUGUGCCAGUAGAAAGGUGCACUGCGGGGACUCAUGCCUGCCCCUGGCUGCAUCUGAAACCUCUAAGUCUUCAGGCUGGCAGAGUCCCACCUCCGAUCACCGUCCAUCACCAGCUGGUGAGGGAUCCAGUAUCAGGGCCUCUGUGCCUGGAGCUAACAGAGCCCAUCUGUACGGGCUGCUUGGCUCCAGAACACACAGGCCUGAGCAGACCGCCGAUGGACGAAGUGCUGGGGCUGGCAGCUGUGCAUGUUUUCCCUGUCCCGCCUUUCUCUGUCCAGAGCAGCAGACAGGGCAGAAUGCCCCCGUCCAGAGAGGUGGAAAACCUGGCAGCUCCUGAGGCCCAUGCCCUCCUAUGACACAUGGAAUGAACCCCAGGGAGAAGCUUGGAGAAGAAGGAGCAAAGCUGAAGGAAGGAUGGAAAUCCCCAGCAGGACUCUACAGGCAGGUAGCUCCAGCUCUGAGACUCCCCCAGUCCUGAAAUGCACACGGAGAAGGGAAGAGGUAGGGGAGGCUGGAUGGUGCCAGGUGGGAGAAGAUGGUAGAAGGGAUGGAGGGAGUGUGAAGGCACAGGGAGAGAGAGGAGAGGUGCAGGAGGGGCUGCAUGGUGACCCACCUCUGAUGGGGGCCUUAGACAUUAUUUUAUUUCAUGCCGGAGACAAGCCCUCUGAAAUAAGAAUUACGUUACAAAGAGAUUAACAGCUUUCAAUUUUAUUUUAUUUUAUUUUGUUCACUUUGUUUUUGCUUUGUCUUGGUCGUUGUUGUAUCUAUAACACAUAGAACAGUACCUGGCAUGUAGUAGAUGCCCAAGAAAUAUUUGAUGGAUGGAUGACUAAAGGAUGAAUGAAAUGAGAAAGGGAGGCUCCAAGGCUUAAGUACACACAUCUCCAAAUGGCCAAUAUGCCCAUGAAAUGAUUCAGCAUCACUCAUUAGGGAAAUGCAAAUCAAGACCACCAUGAGAUACCACUGCAUACCUACCAGGAUGGCCACUAUUAAAACAAAAAACAAAACCCAGAAAAGAACAAGUGUUGACGGGGCUGUGGAGAAACUGGAACCUGUGCGUGUUACUGGUGGGAAAGUACAAUGGUGCAGCCACUGUGGAAGACAGAAUGGAGGUUCUUCAAAAAAUUAAAAUAGAAUUGUUACGUGACUCGAUAACCCCACGUCCGGUGCUAUAACCCCGAAGAAUGGAAAGCAGGGACAGGAAAAGGUACUUUUACGCCCAUGUUCAUAGCAGCUCUGGUCAAGAUGGCCGAAAGGUGGAGGCAACAAGUGACCAUCAGGAGAUGAAUGGAUAAACAAGCUGUGGUCUAUCCAUGUAAUGGACUGUAAUUCUGCCUUAAAAAGGAGGGAAAUUCUGACCCAAGCUACCAUGCAGAUGAACCUUGAGGACAGGAUGUUAAGUGAAAUAAGCCAGUCACAAUAGGACAAAUAUUGUAUGAGGUACCCAGAGCCGUCAAACUCAUACGGACAGAAAAUGGCUUGAUGGUUGCCAUGGGUCUGGGAGGGGAGAAUGGGGAGUUGUUGUUUAAUGGGAAUAGAGUUUCCUCUUUGCAAGAUGAAGAGUGUUCUGCAGGUGGACAGGGGUUAUGUUUCCAUAACAGUGUGAAUGUACUUAAUGCCUUUGAACCGUACGCUUAAAAAUAGUUCAAUAGUAAAUUUUAUGUUAUGUAUAUUUUACCACGAUUUAAAAUUUAAUUAGAAUUGAAAAAUGUUUUGGCUUGAGAGAAAGAGAGAAAGCUUUAAGAAAUUGGUGCUCUGUCACGUAUCACAAUACUUGUCUUUGGCAGCUGUGGAAUUGUCGUGGUGUUGGGAAGGGGUCUUGGGCUCAGAUGCACAAAGGGGAAGAAAGGGAGUGAGAAACAGGCU